AGCUGCAGCUAAUUGGCACCUGACCACACCUGUUGUCAAUCAGCCCAAUCCUAUUUUACCUGCUUUGUUCCUCCAGUCAGCGCUGGAUUAUUGGCGAUGUCACUUCUUGUCCCUCUUGUCGUGUCGUAUCUUUGCAGCGUAGCGGUUCAGGUCUGCAGAAUAAAUAAAGACGCCCUCAAUGGCUGCACAGAAUGUCUUUGCUGCUCCAGUUUGAGGUGUUGGAACAAAGCAGGGUCUGCUGCUUUUGGUCCGGGACAAAAAUGUGGAGUCCUUGGUGAAAACUUCACCCAUGGAAGAAGAUUCAGGGUUUUUACAUCCUCCCAAGUCCAUUUCAAAAAAACAUCCCACUUUUUUUUUUUUCUUAA